GGGGAUUUAGCUCAGUGGUAGAGCGCUUGCCUCAGAAGCGCAAGGCCCUGGGUUCGGUCCCCAGCUCCG
rfam:Rattus norvegicus chromosome 11, whole genome shotgun sequence.